rnacentral:rRNA from 3 species
UAGGGAAUCUUCCGCAAUGGGCGAAAGCCUGACGGAGCAACGCCGCGUGAGUGAUGAAGGCCUUCGGAUCGUAAAACUCUGUUAUUAGGGAAGAACAAAUGUGUAAGUAACUAUGCACGUCUUGACGGUACCUAAUCAGAAAGCCACGGCUAACUACGUGCCAGCAGCCGCGGUAAUACGUAGGUGGCAAGCGUUAUCCGGAAUUAUUGGGCGUAAAGCGCGCGUAGGCGGUUUUUUAAGUCUGAUGUGAAAGCCCACGGCUCAACCGUGGAGGGUCAUUGGAAACUGGAAAACUUGAGUGCAGAAGAGGAAAGUGGAAUUCCAUGUGUAGCGGUGAAAUGCGCAGAGAUAUGGAGGAACACCAGUGGCGAAGGCGACUUUCUGGUCUGUAACUGACGCUGAUGUGCGAAAGCGUGGGGAUCAAACAGG